rnacentral:lncRNA from 1 species
UCGCGAUUCACGACCUCAUAAACCAAGCUUAAUAAGUUACUAUACUAUUUGACGAAAAGGAAUCAAUAAUAGAUAUAAGUUUCAAGUCACUACAUUUUAUGCACAAGUGGGCAUAUGCAUGAUAAAAUAUGAAUGUUUUCUUAUUAAAAAGUAUGAGCGUUGAAGUGUAAAUAAUGAUUUUCAUGAGUCUGUAGGCCAUGUCAAAUGUUUUUUUAUAAAACAUAUAUUCAUUUGAUGUGUUAAACUAUAGUAUAAACCAGGAGCCAGUCUAUAUAAAUUAUGAAAUGGCCAAAAUUAUGGUGAGGAAUAAGUUGAUCCACUACGAGAAAAAUGAGAUAUUGUUACGACAAAAUUUAUUGGUGACAAAUUUGUGACAUAAAAGAUACGUUAUUUUAACUAUUUUUUUAUGUCACAGUUUAGUAAUCAUUUCGUCUCAAUACAGUGACGAUCAAAGUUGUAACAAAAAUUUGUCACAAUUAGUAACAUUAAUGUAACGGAAAUAGUCAACACACUACUUGUGACGUCAUUGUAACUAUGUUUGCUGUAACUAAUUUUUACCAACUUAUUAACGUUUUUUAAUGUAACAAUUUGUUAUAAUUUAGCUACUAACAAUUAGUCAAAACCAUUAUAUAUAUAUAUAUAUACAAAUAUGU